rnacentral:rRNA from 1 species
GGCUUUUUGUUAAUAAUUUAAGGUCUGGCCUGCCCAAUGAUAUAUAUUAAAUGGCCGCGGUAUUUUGACCGUGCAAAGGUAGCAUAAUCAUUAGUUUCUUAAUUGGGAGCUUGUAUGAAGGGUUUGAUGAAAAAGGAAUUGUCUCUGUCUUAAUUUUUUAGAAGUUUAUUUUUAAGUUAAAAGGCUUAAAUUUGUGUUAAAGACGAGAAGACCCUAUAGAGUUUUAUUUUUUUUUAGAAUUGUUAUUUUUUAGGAUUUUUUGAUAAUUUUAGGAAAAAAUUUGGUUGGGGUGAUUAAAAAAUUUGAUAAACUUUUUUACGUGAAUUUCAUUAAUUUAUGAAUUUUUGAUCCUUGCUAGAGAUUAAUAGAUAAAAUUACCUUAGGGAUAACAGCGUAAUUUUUUUUAGAGUUCUUAUCGAAAGAAAAGAUUGCGACCUCGAUGUUGGAUUAAAAUUAAUUAUUGGUGUAGAAGCUAGUAUGAUUGGGUCUGUUCGACCUUUAAAUUUUUACAUGAUCUGAGUUUAAACCGGUGUGAG